rnacentral:rRNA from 1 species
ACGGGGGGUGCGAGCGUUGUCCGGAAUCACUGGGCGUAAAGGGCGCGUAGGCGGCGGGGGAAGUCCAUGGUGAAAGCUCGCGGCUCAACUGCGAGUCGGCUACGGAUACUCUUUCGCUCGAGCACUGUAGAGGCAGAUGGAAUUCCGGGUGUAGCGGUGGAAUGCGUAGAGAUCGGGAAGAACAUCAGUGGCGAAGGCGUUCUGCUGGGCCGUUGCUGACACUGAGGCGCGACAGCGUGGGGAGCAAACGGGA